UACGUAGGGUGCAAGCGUUGUCCGGAAUUAUUGGGCGUAAAGAGCUCGUAGGCGGUCUGUCGCGUCGGCUGUGAAAACUCGGGGCUCAACCCCGAGCCUGCAGUCGAUACGGGCAGACUAGAGUGCUGUAGGGGAGACUGGAAUUCCUGGUGUAGCGGUGAAAUGCGCAGAUAUCAGGAGGAACACCGGUGGCGAAGGCGGGUCUCGUGGGCAGUAACUGACGCUGAGGAGCGAAAGCGUGGGGAGCGAACAGG
rnacentral:rRNA from 1 species